rnacentral:lncRNA from 1 species
AAAAUCGAAAGCCGGAGGUCAAAACAUAAUUUAAAAAAAUAGUGCCACGUCAGAAGCCGCAUCAGCAGCCUGGUCAGCAGCCCUGGCCAACCAGGACACACCGUUUGGCAGGGAUGCUGACGCAGGAAGCCACGCGGGACGGAGACACAUGAGCGAUCUGCGUGCGCGUGAUCGGACGGCCCAGAUCGGUUCCCGCGCGCACGGACGGCCCAGAUCUCAUACGUGCGGACGGUUCAGAUUUGAUCACGCACAGACGGUCCAGAUUAAAUCAUGAUGGACGGUUCAAAUUAAAAGGAGAGGAUUAUAAAUAAUCGCAUCCACACCCAACCCCAAACCCUAGCCGCCAGAACCCUCGCCAGAGAAGACGACACCGGAGGAACCGGCCGCCAAACGAGGUAAAAUUUCUCCCCUUGGCUCAUUUUUCGAUGCUGAACCUCCUUGUGGCCAAAUUGGAGCAGAACCACUGGCCAAUUGGCCGAAAAAACCGCCGAAGCCCAGCAGCGCCGCCGCAGGUUUUCUCAAUUUUUGCCUCUGAUAAGGCGCCCUUCCCGGUUCCCGUUCGAUGUAAUUUUUAUACCACCGUGACCACCGUCCUCUUCUCUACAGGUUGACCGGAGCAAAACACCAAACCGCAACUUGCGCCGGAGGAGCCGCCGCACUCGAGAGCCUUACCACUGGUAAGCCUCGAU